rnacentral:rRNA from 1 species
UUUUUGCUUAGAGCUUUUGUUUUCCAAAGUUAAAAAACUAAUUUCAAAAAUAGAAAUUUUUAUUGUAAAUAAAUUUUAUAAACCUAGUGAAUUGAAUCAUCUUAGUAACUAGUGAAAAAAUCAAUCGAGAUUCUAUAAAUAGCGGUGAGCAAACAUAUAGGUUAUAUUUUUAAAAAGUUUCUUUUUUAAAUAUAGAUUUUAAUUUAUUUGCCAAAGAAGGGAAGCCCUGUGAAACUUAAAAACUUUUUAAAAUUUUAGUAUAAUGAUACAAGUUAUAUUAUUAAAAAUUUGGGGUACUACCCUCAAAAAUUCUAAAAAUUUGAUGAUUGAUAGUGAAAAAGUACUGUAAAGGAAAGGUGAAAUUUUUUCUUCGGAAUUGAAAAGUGAAUUUUAAUGCAAACAAUCAAUUGAAGCUUUAUUAAAAGUAACAAUGUACCUUUUGUAUAAUGGGUCAACAAGUUUAUUUUAGUAGCGAGCUUAUGUAUUUCUUACUAAAGCAAAAAAAAAUUGAAUUUUAAAAAGUUAAAAGUUUCUAAAAUAAAACCCGAAACUAAGUGAUCUAACUAUGAACAGAUUGAAGUAAAAUGUUUAAUUUUAUGGAGGGUCGAACUCGUGUAUGUGGAAAAAUACUGAGAUGAUUUGUGGUUAGGGGUGAAAGGCCAAUCAAACUUAGAAAUAGCUGGUUUUCUGCGAAAUCUAUCUAAGUAGAGCGUUAAUUUUUUGUUCUUUAGGGGUAGAGCUCUUGAUAAAUAAAGGGAAUUAAUAUUCUACUGAAUUUACUAAAACUUCGAAUACUAAUUUAUAAAUUUUAAUAGACAGACUAUAAAUGCUAAGAUUUAUUGUCAAAAGGGAAACAGCCCAGACUAACAAUUAAGGUUCGCAAAAAUAAUUAAGUGAAUAAAACAAAAAAGUAUUGAAAUAAUUUGUAUGUUAGCUUAGAAGCAGCUACCUUUUAAAGAAUGCGUAAUAGCUCACUAAUUGAGUAUUUUUUUGUUUAAAAUGAAAUGAGCUAAAAAUAUUUACCGAAAUUUUAGAUUUAAUUUUUAAAUGGUAGCAGAACUUUCUGUAAUUUUGUGGAGAUUUAUUGUGACAUAAAUUGUAAAAAUCAGAAGAGCCAAUGUUGACAUGAGUAACGUAAAAUAAUGUGAGAAACAUUAUGACUUUAAGUUCAAGGUUUCCAAAAAACUUAUAUUUUUUGGUAUAGUUAAUCGGUCUUUAAGAGAAUAGACGAAAGUCUGUCUUGAUAAGAAAAAACUAAUAUUUUUUUAUUUGAAUUUAGUGAAAAAAAUAUUAAUAUUAUUUUUAUUUUAUGGUUUAAAUAAAAGUUUUAUAGUAAUUUUCAAGAAAUAGCUAAAUUUUCGUAUAAUAAACAAAACCCGUACUAAAACCAACACUGGUGAACAAAUUGAGUAAAUUAAAGUUUAAAGAAAAUUAUGUUGAAGGAACUCGGCAAAAUGACUCCGUACCCUCGGAAUAAGGAGUGACUAUUUUAGAGCAAUCUAAUAUUAGUUGUCACAAAAUCGAGAACAGCGACUGUUUAAUAAAAACUUAGGUCUUUGCUAAUUUGUAAAAAGAAGUAUAAAGACUGACGCCUGCCCAGUGCUGCAAGAUUAAAAAGUAAAAGUUUAGGCUUUUAUUUCAAUUCCCAGUAAACGGCGGCCGUAACUCUGACGGUCCUAAGGUAGCGAAAUUCCUUGGCAUUUAAUUGGUGUCCUGCAUGAAAGGCGUAACGACUGUUCUACUGUCUCCAACAUAAACUUUGUGAAAUUGAAUUUUUUGUGAAGAUGCAAAAUUAUUGCGGCUAGACGGAAAGACCCUGUGCACCUUUACUAUAUUUAUAUAUUGUUAUGAAAAUUUAAGUGUAAAGUAUAAGUGGUAAUUUGUAAAUUUUUUGCGUAAGCAAAUCAAAAUAAAAUAAAAUUGAAAUACCACUCUUUUAAAUUUUUCAUGACUAAUUUUAAAACAUUUUAUAAAAGGUAGUUUGACUGGGGCGGUGGCCUCCAAAAGAGUAACGGAGGCGUAUAAAAGGUAAAUUAAAAUUGAAUUUCAAUUUUUUAGCACAAUAGUAUAUAUUUGCUUGACUGCUAGAUUGACAAAUCAAACAGGGACGAAAGUCGAUUAUAGUGAUCCGAUAUUUUUUUGUAGAAAAAAUAUCGCUCAACGAAUAAAAGGUACGCCAGGGAUAACAGGCUAAUCAUUUUUUAGAGACCAUAUCGAUGAAAUGGUUUGGCACCUCGAUGUUGGAUUAUCGCAUCCUAGAGCUGCAAAUGGUUCUAAGGGUUUGGCUGUUCGCCACUUAAAGCGGUACAUGAUCUGAGUUUAGAACGUCGUGAGACAGUUUGGUCCCUAUCUACCGUAUUUAAAUAAAAAUUGCGAGGAUUAAAUUCUAGUACGAGAGGACCGAAAAAAGCAAAUCUCUGGUAAAUCGAUUGUUAAACCAUUAGCAAAGUCGAGUAGCUAAAUUUGUAAUAAAUAAUUGCUGAAAGCAUCUAAGCAAGAAAUUAGCCUCAAGAUAAAUUUUUAGCAAUAUAAAAGACUAUUAUAUCGAUAGGCUUAAAGUGCAAGAGUUGUAAAAUUUUAAGCUUAUAAGUACUAAAUUUUAA